CCUACGGGGGGCAGCAGUGGGGAAUCUUGCGCAAUGGACGAAAGUCUGACGCAGCGACGCCGCGUGGGUGAUGAAGGCCUUCGGGUUGUAAAGCCCUGUGGGGAGGGACGAAUAAGUGCUGGCUAACAUCCAGCGCGAUGACGGUACCUCCUUCGCAAGCACCGGCUAACUCUGUGCCAGCAGCCGCGGUAAGACAGAGGGUGCAAACGUUGUUCUGAAGUGCUGGGCGUCGGCUGCGUGAGGCGGACGUGAAAGCCCUCGGCUCAACCGGGGAAGUGCAUUCGAAACUGCAGAGCUAGAGUCCCGGAGAGGAUGGUGGAAUUAUCGGUGUAGAGGUGAAAUUCGUAGAUAUCGAGAGGAACACCGGUGGCGAAGGCGGCCAUCUGGACGGUGACUGACGCUGAGACGCGAAAGCGUGGGGAGCAAACAGGAUUAGAUACCCGAGUAGUC
rnacentral:rRNA from 1 species